rnacentral:rRNA from 1 species
GUGGCGGACGGGUGAGUAAUGCUUGGGAAUCUGGCUUAUGGAGGGGGAUAACGACGGGAAACUGUCGCUAAUACCGCGUAUUAUCGGAAGAUGAAAGUGCGGGACUGAGAGGCCGCAUGCCAUAGGAUGAGCCCAAGUGGGAUUAGGUAGUUGGUGGGGUAAAGGCCUACCAAGCCUGCGAUCUCUAGCUGGUCUGAGAGGAUGACCAGCCACACUGGAACUGAGACACGGUCCAGACUCCUACGGGAGGCAGCAGUGGGGAAUAUUGCGCAAUGGGGGGAACCCUGACGCAGCCAUGCCGCGUGAAUGAAGAAGGCCUUAGGGUUGUAAAGUUCUUUCGGUAUUGAGGAAGGUUGAUGUGUUAAUAGCACAUCAAAUUGACGUUAAAUACAGAAGAAGCACCGGCUAACUCCGUGCCAGCAGCCGCGGUAAUACGGAGGGUGCGAGCGUUAAUCGGAAUAACUGGGCGUAAAGGGCACGCAGGCGGUUAUUUAAGUGAGGUGUGAAACCCCCGGGCUUAACCUGGGAAUUGCAUUUCAGACUGGGUAACUAGAGUACUUUAGGGAGGGGUAGAAUUCCACGUGUAGCGGUGGAAUGCGUAGAGGUGUGGAGGAAUACCGAAGGCGAAGGCAGCCCCUUGGGAAUGUACUGACGCUCAUGUGCGAAAGCGUGGGGAGCAAACAGGAUUAGAUACCCUGGUAGUCCACGCUGUAAACGCUGUCGAUUUGGGGGUUGGGGUUUAACUCUGGCGCCCGUAGC